GAUGAACGCUGGCGGCGUGCUUCAUACAUGCAAGUCGAACGAGAAUCUGUAGCUUGCUACAGAGGAAAGUGGCGGACGGGUGAGUAAUACAUAGGAAAUCUGCCCUUAGGUGGGGGACAACAGUUGGAAACGACUGCUAAUACCGCAUAUGAGUACAGUUGAGAUAUUGUACUUGAAAACUACGGUGCCUAAGGAUGAGCCUGUGCCUGAUUAGCUAGUUGGUGGUGUAAUGGACUACCAAGGCGACGAUCAGUAGCUGGUUUGAGAGGAUGAUCAGCCACAAUGGGACUGAGACACGGCCCAUACUCCUACGGGAGGCAGCAGUAGGGAAUUUUUGCGCAAUGGGCGAAAGCCUGACGCAGCAACGCCGCGUGAACGAUGAAGCCCUUAGGGGUGUAAAGUUCUGUCAGUAGGGACGAAACUUGACGGUACCUACGGGAGGAAAGCACCGGGCUAAACUCCGUG
rnacentral:rRNA from 1 species